rnacentral:rRNA from 1 species
AUUGAACGCUGGCGGCAGGCCUAACACAUGCAAGUCGAACGAGUGGCGGACGGGUGAGUAAUGUCUGGGAAACUGCCUGAUGGAGGGGGAUAACUACUGGAAACGGUAGCUAAUACCGCAUACAAUAAGAUGUGCCCAGAUGGGAUUAGCUAGUAGGUGGGGUAACGCCUCACCUAGGAGACGAUCCCUAGAUGGUAUGAGAGGAUGCCCCGCCACACGGGAACUGCUACACGGUCCAGACUCCUACGGGACGCAGCAGUGGGGAAUAUUGCACAAGUGGCGCAAGCCUGAUGCAUCCAUGCCGGGUGUAUGAAGAAGGCCUUCGGGUUGUAAAGUACUUUCAGCGGGGAGGCGUUACCCGCAGAAGAAGCACCGGCUAACUCCGUGCCAGCAGCCGCGGUAAUAC